AGCAUUGCAAACACGCUCCCCCCCAAACCACAAACGCGCCCCCACACACUCGCUUACUUUCCCUCACAAAGAUGCCCGCUUACACGGCCACAGCAGGCACGCUCAGAGACACGCAGUUACACACACACAUCGCUGUACACAACCCCACAUACAAUCAAAAAACAAAACACGAAACGUUCCCCUGGGCACUAAAUCCUCACGUUAACGUACACACACAAACACACGCCCUCCUCUCCCACUUCCUCUUCCAUACCCCUUCCUCGAGGCCCCCCACCCCUGAUUUUCGGCACCCCCAGUCCCAAUCAUAAUUGGCGCCCGCGCAGCCCUCUUUGGACACACACGCGCCGCCCACGCACGCGCUCCCCUCCCCGGCAGGCGGGGGCGGCUUCGGCCGGGAGCCGGCGGAGCCCGCUUCGGAUUCCAGGUGUGGCAGUGACUCCGCGCUCCACGUUUUGCAGGCUGCCACCGUGUCGGAGGCGAGGCGAGGAAGGGAGCUGGAAUAACAAAGGCAAGUAAUGGGGUAGAUUGGAUACCUCUGGGGUCUUGGAAGAAGCUAUGACUUAUUUACUGUCUACUAUGUGGUGAGUACUGUGGUGGGUCCUCCUAGGUAUUGAGAAUUCAGUUCCCUGAUUGAACUGUCACAUUGUCUUAAGUUAGGUGCCGCUACCAUCCCCCUUUCAGAGGAAACUCAACUGUGAAUGACUUGCCCAAGAUUGGUCAGGAUGGGAACUCGGGCCCCCAUGAACAGAGUUUCCUGUUGUCCCCUCAGCCCUGGCUCUGUUCAUCCAUAGACUGUGUAGCCCCAAGCAAGCUGCUUUCCCCCUCUGAGCCCCUGUAAGGUCCAUGGUGCCAUCAGGACUCACUGGGAACUGUGUGUCCAACAACCUCACCCCCAAAGUCUCAGCCUCACUGGGCCUGGAGAUCUGCUGGUGAGACAAGAGAGGACAGUGCCAUCACUUCCUCGUGGCCCAGAGCUGGAAGAUGCAUCCUGCUCAGCCCCUGCAGGCCCAGAAGUCACCUGGCUCCACUAGGAGGGCAUGGGCAGUGUGGGGCCGCCAGGUUGUACCAACCUUCAGAGCACACUCAAGUGCUGUUAAUUUCCCUGUCCUGUGGGAGCCACCAGCAGAUUGGGGAGAGGACCAUUGCUGGGGCCUGGGCCCAGGUUUCAGGAGGCAGAAAAUCUGGAGGCCAGCAGGAUGGUGGGGGUGGGAGGCUUGAGGUCCCUGAGGGAAGCAAAGGACUUGUGUAGGGUGCGGCGAGUAUGGCCUCCUAGGCUGGGCUGGGAUGGGGGCGGGUACACAGUGGGGAUUCCCACCUGUCCAGGAGCUGCCUUCUCUGUCCCCACUCUCCACCUCUCACUUCUGGAACUUAAGGGAGCCAGGGAACAUCUAAAAUUGAGACUAGAGAGGUGGGAAGAAAAUCUCAUUCAUUGAGUACUUACUGUAUGCCACGCACUUUGGAAACAUUCGUUGUAUUCUCUCCACAAGCCAGGUGUCAUUCCCUGCUAAGGGAAGAGGCUCAGAGAGGUUAAGUGACCUGCUCAAGAUCUCAUAGCUGGCUGAGCAUGGUGGCUCAUGCCUGUAAUCUGUGCACUUUAGGAGGCCAAGGCAGGGUAGAUCACUUGAGCUCAGGAGUUCGAGACCAGCCUGGGCAACAUAGCAAGACCUUGCCUCUACAAAAAAUACAAAAAUUAACCAGGCAUGGUGGCACAUACCUGUAGUCCCAGCUAUUUGGGAAGCUGAGGUCGGAGGAUCACUUGAUCCUGGGAGGCUGAGGCUGUAGUGAGCCAUGAUUGUGCCACUGCACUCCAGACUGGGCAACAGGGCAUGACCCUGUCUCAUAAAAACGAAACAAAACAAUAAAGAUCUCAGAGCUGCUAAGUGGGUGGAGCCGAGAUUGGGCUCCAGGUUGGGCUGGGCCUUGAGGUUGAGAAUAGGGACUUGCCCUCAUCUCACUGCCAGGUUAUGGUGCAGAUAAGGUAACCUACCAGGUACUUUGGGGUGAAGUAAAGACUCUCACCCACUUGCCAGGGAAUGACCAGGGUGCCUCCCAUGGCAGUGAGGUAAUGGAGAUUACAUUUAGAGUUCACCCCUUGGUGGAUACAGGAAGCAUUUGGGCCCUGCCCAGCUCUGAGCCCUGUGCCUCUAAGAGGUGAGUGGUUGGGUCAAGCAGGGAAGAUCUAUGUCCUUCAGCGAAUUAGGCUCCCCUGCUCUGCCUCCCCCUCAUUUCCAAUCAGAUGGCCCCUCCAUUCUCUGAGCCCACACCUUCCCAUCCUCCAAGGCUUGACUCUCCAAUGUCCUUCCCUCAAGCCAGCCGUCUUCUCACUUUCUACCAUGGAGUUCUGCCCUAUGGUUCGAGACCCAGUUCAACCACCAACCCCUUCUUCAGAUGGGAGUCACAAGAGAAUAGGCUGGGAGCCUGCCUCAGGAGCCGGGACACCUAUGUGCCCAGCCCGCCAUUGCCUGACUUGCUGUGUGGCCUGAGCACAUCACAAACUCUCCCUGUGCCUGUUCCCCAUCUGCCAAGUGAGAGAGUGUGGGAUAUCCACCAGCACUUUUGCCUCUGAUUGUCCUAAGAUUCUGUAGGUCUGAGCCUUUAACCCUUGGACUGAGCUACAGUUCACUUUAGAGUUUGAGGGCGGCCCUGCUUUAGGGAGGGCUUUCAGAGGGGGCCAUUUAGUGGAGUAGGGACAAGAAAAUACCUGGAGGGAGCUGCUCAGAACUGUGACUAUCUAGGACUGUGAAUAGGUAAUGACCCUAACGCCUCCCUUCAUGAGGCACCUCUCACCCUCUGAGCCUCACAACAGCCCUUUUGUGGGUGACUAAGCUGAGCCCCAAAAGGAGGUGAUGGCUUUCCCUGACUGCACCACUGGGAAGCACCAGAGCUGGAACAAGAGCCAGGUCUCAGCCAGGCAUGGUGGCACAUGCCUGUAGUCCCAGCAACUCGGUGGGGGGACAAGAGGGGGUGCAAGAGCCACAUCUCCUCAUGCAGUGUCCCCUCACCUGCGUCAGGGCCCCUCCAGAGGAGCAAGUACAUGCGGCACUGAUGAGGAAGUCUGGGACAAGCGACCUGAGGAGGACCAUGCCUCCCACUUCCUUCCUGAUAGCUCCUGCACCCCGAGAGGGGUGGGGGAAGGUCUCAGAUCCUCAGCAUCUCUCCUCCUUCUGGCUGUGCAGUCCUCCAGCCUCAAGACUCAUGCUUCCUUGCCCUCACCUCAUCCUGUGGCCAUGCAGGGUGACUUCCAGAAUUGCCAGCAUUAUGUACAUACUCUUACCUCUGUGCCAUUGCUCAUGCUCUUCCUACCUCCUGGGACACACCCCUCCCAGUCACCAAGGCCACAUCUGCAACCACUUGCUUGGAAGCCUACCCUGAUACCUCCACCAGAUGUGCCGUCUUCCUUGUCUUAACCCCCAUAUGCUGCUCUCCCAGCCUCCAACAUCAGCAUAACCAUAGGAAUUACUUGUGAAGUUCCUGCUAUGUUCCAGGCAUUGAGUAGCUCAUACACAUGAACUCCUCCCAUCCUCUGAGCUAUUAGUAUUCUCAUUUUACAGAUGAGGAAACUGAGGCACAGGGAGUUUCAUUUCCUAGUAUGACACCUCACAGGCUAGGGAGGUAUUGUGUUACAUGGCCCUCUUCUGUCAAGGCUGCAGGUCAUAGGAUGGCUCACUGCUACAUCCCAUCACCCAGUGCAAGGCCUUGGGGGCUGACAGGCCAUCCGGAGCAGGGGAGGUAUAGAGGCCCACAGGAUGGAGGAUGACCAGAACCAGCCCUCUGGGGGCUCACAGUCUCUCAGGAAGGACUGCCCACACCAAAUGCCAUUCUUUUUUUUUUUUUUUUUUCUUGAGACAGAGUUUUGCUCUGUCGCCCAGGCUGGAGUGUGCAGUGGUGAGAUCUCGGCUCACUGCAAGCUCCGCCUCCCAGGUUCACACCAUUCUCCUGCCUCAGCCUCCCGAGUAGCUGGGACUAUGCCACCAUACCCGGCUAAUUUUUUGUGUUUUUAGUAGAGAUGGGGUUUCACCAUGUUAACCAGGAUGGUCUGCAUCUCCUGACCUCAUUAUCCACCCGCCUUGGCCCCCCAAAGUGCUGGGAUUAUAGGCAUGAGCCACCGCACCCGGCCACCCAAUGCCAUUCUAAGAGUUCGGGGAAGAAGAAGAGUUGGCAUUGAGUGGGUCCUGGAAGGCAAGCUCUGGUGGGGCUGUGGGGAAGCCAGAGUGGGGCAUGGACCUGCCUAAGGUCACACAGCAAGCAAGUAUGAGACAGCAGCAGGGCUGGGACCUGGAGCUCCCAGUGUAUCAUGCCUUCUUGCACCUUGCAGCCAGCUGUGGGGCCCCUGCGACUGUGCUGUUUUCAAGGACACACGGUCCCAGAUGCCUCCACAAUUCUGAGCUGUUCAAUGAGUGGCUCUGGUCCUUCUCCCCCCUCUAUUAAAAUGGAAAAAAGAAAGAAAGAAAGAAAGAAAUCCAGGCAUUGUUCCUGACUGCAGCUGGUGCCAACCAGAAUCCCACUGAACAGAAUGGAGCCGAGAGCCCGGCUGCCCAGGGGCCUGGCUGCUGACACAGGGCCUUUCUAUUUUGCUUUCCACUGGGGGCCCAGGCUGACGGUGCAGCCCCUCCACGGACACCCUCUCCACCUGCCUCCCUGGCCCUGGCUCUGAGCCUCCUGCUGCCUUCACCCUCUUUGCAAAAAUCAGAUGGCACUUGGGGGAGGGUUGGAGGAGCACCCCCACCCCCUGCUUUCCUUCUUCAUCCACUCACAGCCUGGGGUGCGCUGGGCCUCCCUCCCCGCCAGCCUGUCCUCCCACCCUACCAGGAGGGGACUUGGGAUGCUUGUCUGGGAGAGCGACACAAAUCCCUCUUCCAAAAUCGUUUGAAACACUUGUCUGAUUCUAGGACAUAUGAGGAUUUUCCACCCCACCCCCACCUGACUUGGCAGGUGCCAGUCCUCAGCUCACACAUUAAGGCCUCUUGCAAUAGUGAAGGUCUUGUGGGGGAAAGGGGAACAUGAUGAACAGCUCUACAGAGACAAAAACAGUUUUUUAAGUUGCUAGUUUGCCUUCUGCCUUUGGUCUUAGGAGGAAAAAGGACUUCUCCAACUCUCCCUUACCAUCUUCAUUUCAUCCUCUGCUUCCUGCCCCUUUCGUGAGCUGUCUGGUACUCAGACCUCCUCUCCACAGGCUAUUGGCUAGUUUGACCCAGAUUACCCCAAGCAGCAGUUCUAAGAGAGCAGCAUCCUGGCCACUGUCCAGUGUCCACCAGGGACCCUUGGGUUGGCACUGCCACCACAGCCAGCUCUCCUGGCACCCCCUUCCUCCUGUGGACACAGCUCUUUAGUUUGUAAAAAGUACUUGACGUCUCACGCAAGUGCCACAGCAGCCUCAAGAGGCAGGCAGGGAUUGCUAACCCACUUCGUAGAAGAAUAAACUAAGGGUUCAGGAGGCAUAAUGGUUUGGCCAAGGUCAAAGGAGGUGACAGAGUUGGGAUUUGAACCCUGGUCUCUUGAUUCCAUGUCACUAAGCUGCAGUGGGGACUCAGGAAGUGACGGUGUCAGAGGAUGACAUUCCCAGCCCCCACCACCUCCACCCGACCAAAUGCUGCCAGGAGACAGGAUCUCAGACACAUCGAUUCCUUUAAGGAAUAUUUAUUAAAUACUUGCUGUAUGCCAGAUCUCCAACAGUGAACAAAACAGAUUUGGUCCACACUGCUGCAGAGCUUAUAUUCUGAGACAGACACCAGACUUCGUGCAGAAAGAUCCCCCUCUUCCUAGUUGCCCAGCCCAUAUGUCCUAGAAGGAACCGUGAGAUGGGCAGCCAGAGACAUAAGUUCUAGUCCUAGCAUUGCCCCUGACUCUCCAUGUCACCUUGGACCGAGUUUUCCACCUGAGAAAUCCAAGCAUGUGGCCCCUCACACAUUUUCUCAGGUCUCUUCCCUACUCCCAGUCUCUGGGUCUAGUGGUUCAUGAUUUCCCGGCAUGAAUUAUCCUGAUUUAGUUUUUUUUCUUAAACCCGACUUUUCCUAGGCUCUUAGAGCCAGAACAGGGCUUCUGAGAUCAUUUGCUCUGAGCCCUUCACUAAGAAAGAACCCCUUAGCCUCGUUCCUGCCAGGAGGAGACUGUCUUUGCUUGUACUCUUCCAGGGACGGGCUGCUUGCUCCCUCACAUAGCAGACCUCUGCCAGUGGUGUGCUGGUAAAUGUUUAACAGCUGGCUCCCCAAAGUGGGGAGAACCUGGUUUGUAGUAUUUGCCGAUGUCUACGGUGUAAAUACCCCCACCAUGGCCAGUUUCAAGCUGCCGACCAGAGCCAGCUGGCACAGCUGGUUGGUUCCAUCAACCAGCUCGCGCAGUUCCUGAAAAUUUAACAAUCGGCCCUUGUGAGCCAUAUGAACAGGCUCCAACACACCAUUUCCCCUGCCCCGCAGAGAAGUCUUGUCUAGCUUUACUCAUUGGGAAGUUCUUUCUGGUAUUGAGCAAAACAUCUGAUUGUCAGGAACUCUGGCCUGAAAGUCCUGAACUACUUCUCUGGGGUGUCACAGGACAAUGGGGACCCCAUGAAGGCCUUCUCUAAUUGGUGGCAGCUCUUGACUAUGUCUUCCUGUGAGAGGAGCAAGUUCCUGGGCCAAAUGGGGUCAGAGCAUAGCCACCCUCCCAUUCUGCCUUUCUCUCUCCCUCUUCACCUCCCUUCCUUCCUCUCUUUCUUUCACAAAUAUUUCCUGGGCCCCUGUGACAAUGUCAGACACUGCUAGAUACUGUGGAUUCAGCGACCCAUGUCUUAGCUUGCGCAGAGAUGCUGCCCACUCUGUGAAGCCUGUCCUGACCCCCACCCUAGCCCCUCCCGCAGUGGGCAGUCUCCUCCCCUCCCAGAGCCUUUAUCGCCCCUGUUUGGCACUUAUCACUUUCUACCUGGGAUUGCAGCUAUUUGUGUACACGGCUUAUCUCCCUGCCAGACUGAGAGGCAACGUGGGCCUGUUGAAAGAGCGUGGACUUUGGAGCCGCAUGACCUGGCCCUCAAUCCCAACCCUGCGACUCAGAGCUGUGAGCCCUCGGGGAGCUCACAACACCUUUGGGAGCCUCAGUUUCCUUAUCUGUAAAGUGGGGAUGGUGAUAACUACUUCCAAUGUGGUUUUGAGCAACUGGUAGGAUUAGAAAUGUCAACCCCAUUUCCUGCUCCUGUCUGGACUCCCAUCCUCUUGGGGACAGAGAUUGUGUGCAAUACUUCUCUGUAGCCUCCUGGUAAUAAUAACAUAACAAUAUUAAUAACAAUGACCAACACUUACACAGCAAUACCAUACAUAAGGUAAGAGCUUACAUAUGUUAGCUCAUUCAUUCUCACAACCUUGUGGCAUUGGAAGCAUUAUUCCCAUUAACAGAUGAGCAAUCUGAGGCACAGAGGGGUUAGGUAACAAGCCCAAGGUCACACAGCUAGUGAGUGAGAGAGCUGAGAUUUGAAUCCAAGAAAAUCCACCUCAAAGCCUUAGCUAUUGAAUAGUAUGGCUUCUGGAGGGGUGUGAGUGUAUGUGCCCAUGGUUCACUGCAGCCUUUGAGCAUCCUUGCCCUGACCUGCAGGGUGGGGGUGGAGUGAUACAAGGAAGACCCUGGUCUGCGCAUUAGGACAUCCUAACAGGUGAGUGGUUAGUGCUGAAGAAAGGAGUGUCCCCAGGUAUCUGGAGGCCAGGGGACUAGAAGGUGAUAAUCAAUAAGGCAAUCAGAGGAGGCUUCCCGGAGAGGUGGCGCUUGCCACCAAAUGAGGAUGGACAAGGCAGGGCGAACAGGAGGACCAAAAUUGUAGACAUGGGAGAGGUAUAUUAGGGUUUCACCUAGGUGUCAGACUAGACAUAUUCACUGGUUCUGGUGGGUGGGAUGGAGCAGAGACUGUGAACUUGGGGAGGGGCAUGUUGGUUUCCCAGUCUGUGAUUCAAUAGGGAAUGGAGGACAUUUUCAGGGGCCUUGAGAGCCAGUGCAGGCCCAGGAGAGCUGAGAGUCACCUGUGCUGCCCUCGGGGCCAUAUUGGCAUUUUGCUUCUCUGCAAGCUACUCUGAGAUUCCAAAGUCCUGGGUUCCCGAAUUCAGCUGUGCCAGUCCCAUCCCUCCAUUUCUUCAAGCCUCAAUUUCUCCAGUUCAGAAUGGGCAUAAAGGGUGGACCUUGCAUGCCGAUUAAAGGAUGAGAUAGGGCUGUGUGGGGAUGGGCCUGACGCUCCUGGGGCAGGAAAUGGGGGAAAGGUACUGCGGGGAGGGAGAGUGGGAAGCUGGGAGAGAAGGAGGUGGUGCGAGGAGCCCUGUGUGCUUGGCCAGUGAAUCCAGGUCUGCUAAGCUGGCCCUAGCUGGGAUUCUUCCAGCACCCCAUACUGCAUUUUCCCAAGGCUGCCUGACUCUGCUGCCUCAAAGCAGUCUUCCUCCUGGGCUUCUGCAAGGAUAGUUCUGGGUUAGAUCCUGUUCCUCUGGCCAACCCAGUUGAGCCCAGCCAUGUCCCUUGGAGAGCACUCUUCAUGUUCCAAGGGCUGUUUUAAAUGCUCUUCCCUCAUACUAACUAGUUCAGUCCUCACAGCCACGCUGUGAGUUCCCUCAUUUCACAUAAGGAAACUGAGGCACAGAGAGGGUAAGCCAGGUGUUCCACAGGGUUCCACGGCAGGGAAGGCGAAGUCUAAGGGAUGGGAAUAGCCCAUGGAGCCAGGAAGGCGGGCCCAAGGGAUGGGCCUCUGAACCGCCUUCUCACCCUUUCUGUAUGGGAAAUUAUGACCAUUGUGAGUCGUCCCUCUCACACGUUUCUUUUCUGCUCAUCUCAAGGUUCUCAGGUAGCUGCAGAACCACAAUUGACAUCCCUCUGCCCAUACAGGCGCCUACAUGUCCACACACUCAACACCAUGGCUGCCCAACGUCUCAUAGGCACAAGGCUCACACUUUUGCACACACAACCAUCAAUUCAGAGCCACAAAUGCAUCUGCAGGCACCACACCCACCCUGCCGCAGAUGCACACAUAGGGCACGUGUGGGCUUUGGGCCUCAGACUGACAACCAAGCACCAACAAGUCCCAUUCCCAGAAUGACGGAUACACACCCACGCGUUCACACGGGCUCCAGUGUGCCUGACACGACAUGGUGGGGUCUGUGGACUCACAGUGCACCCCCUGGACCCAUGUCCAGGCUCCAGCCUCUGCAGAUGUCCCUUCUGCCCAGGUGCCUUCAUUCCUAUCCCUUCAAGACUACGGCUCUGGAAUGUGUGCACAGCGGAUCCGCUUCUCAUGGCAGGUCCCUGCCCUGCCGUCUUCUGUAAGAACUGGGCCUCAGGUGUGUGGUAGGGGAUUGGGGUAAAAGGUGACCCUUCCUGCAACCCUGGCAGGCUCCCUGGGCUGCAGAAGGGACAGCAGGGAGAGGAGAGUGAAUUAAUCCUGGCCUCCCUUCUUGGGUUCACUGUCAUGCUAAUUUUCUCCGCCUUUGAUCCAUCUCUCUAGCCCCAGCCCCUAACUCUGAGCAGGAGCAGGCGCUGGGUCUGGCCUGAGAUUAGGGGCUGCCUUGGUGAGGCCUGGGGCACAUCCUUCCAUGUGGCAGACUGGGGUUUCGCCCUUGGGAGGGGCUUGGGGGAUUAUAGCCCUGGUUACUGACCUGCUGUGGGCAACACACUCUCCUUCACCAGACUCAUCCUCUUUCUUCCUGACCGACCUUCUCCUCUCCAAAGGGGGCUCUGCUGUUCCCAUUUUGCACAAGAGCAGAGUGAGGCCCAGGGUUGAAAGGUCUCCGGAGGCUUCUGGCCACUGAGAGGUGGAGCCAGGCUGGGAGCACACAUCUUCCAGACUCCAACCCCGCCCUGUUUCCGUGGUGGGUCUUCGUUCUGGUGAUUUUUUUGAAACCAGCAUCUACGGCGUAUUCAUGACAUGCCAGGGACUGCGCCUUAACAUACAUUGCCUCAUGCAGUCCUCAGCAAUGCUCUUAUGAGUCCCACUUUAUAGGUGGGGAAAGAGUCCUGUGUAACUAUCUGGUGAGUGGUGAAGUCUGACCAAAUCCAGGACACAGGUGGCCAAAGUCCCCUCCCUGUAGGGGGUGACACUGAGACCCAGGCAGGGGAAGGACAUGCCCAAUCCCACACAGAGAGGGAAUUGGCUGGACAUGCAUCUCCUACCUUCCUGUAUGCUCCAUCUGGUUCCAGAAAUGACUGGACUCUUCUAUGGACCCAGUGGAGCUCAGACAAGGGUCCAGGCCCUGACACUGCCCCAGAGCAGGGGUGCCAGCACCUAUGAGGAUGCCAAGCUCAGGUCAUCGCCCUGCGGUGUCUCAGCCAACUGGGCCUCGAACAGCCCCAUAAACUUGGACAUAAACACAAUUAAAGUUUUUUAUUACAUUAUAUUUUGUACAUAUAAAAGACUAUUUGUAAGCCAUGAAACAUUACAAUGAAUGCUCAUGACUACUCUGCUGAAGAACUAGAGUAUUAGGGACACUUGUGAAGCUCCGACCUUCCCAGCCCCCUACUUCCCAGAAGGAGCCACUAUCCUAAUUGUCAUUACUCUCUGCUGUUUUUGUUUGUUUGUUUUUUAAGGAGUCUCAUUCUGUUGCCCAGGCUGGAGUGCAGUGGCGUGAUCUCGGUUCACUGAAACCUCUGCCUCCUGAGUUCAAGCGAUUCUCCUGCCUUAGCCUCCUGUGUAGUUGGGAUUACAGGUGUGCACCACCACGCCAGGCUAAUGUUUUGUAUUUUUAGUAAUGAUGAGGGUUCACCAUGUUGGCCAGGCUGGUCUCAAACUCCUGACCUCAGGUGAUCCACCCACCUCGCUUCCCAAAGUGCCGGGAUUACAGGCAUGAGCUACCACGCCCAGCCUCUCCCUGCCUCUUUUUAACAGAAAGUUUUAGCACCUGUGUGGAGACCCCUUCACUCACUGCACUUUUUUUUUUUUAAGAGGUGGGAUCUCACUCUGUCACCUACACCCGAGUGCAGUGAUGUGAUCCUGGCUCAUUAUAGCCUUGAUCUCCUGGCUCAAGCGAUCCUCCCACCUCAGCCUCCCAAAUAGCUGGGACUGCAGGUGCAUGCCACCAUGCCCAGCUAAUUUUUUUUUAAUUUUUAUGCAAAGACAGGGUCUUGCUAUGUUGCCCAGGCUGGCCUCAAACUCCUGGCCUCAAACAGUGCUCCCGUCUCAGCCUCCCAAAGUGCUGGCAUUACAAGUGUGAGCCACCACAUCCAGCUGCUAACUGCACUUUUGAGAUGUUGCAUUCUAUUCUGCACUCCCAAUUAUUCAUUCCCAGGGGAAGUGCAUUAUUUAAAGGGAUAGAGAGAGAACUUGGAGGAGCCACUUGCACCCCAUGUGCCUCUUCGCUUCAGUGCUGUGAGUGCUCUGUUUGGCCCCCUCAUUCCAGUGAGUGCCCUGAAACAGGACAUUUCUUCCUGGUACGGCCAGUAGAAGGAGGGUGGGGGCCUUCCGGCAGCUGGGCAUUCUCUGAACAUGGCAUGCUGCCUUGCAUUUGCGUAAGCCAUUCCUCCACCUGGAAUUCCCUUCGCUAGACUGUUGUGGGAACCCAGUUCCUUCUUCCAGGUCCAACUCCAAGGUUUCGUUCUGGAGAUGCCUUCCCUGUGACCCCUUGCCCCUCUCCCCCAGCAGAGCUGGAUCUGUCCUCUUCUCCCCUGACAGAGUUUUGGGCAUCCUUCUAUCAGCCCUUAUCCCAGGGCAGGAAGAACAGCCUUGAUCCUGGAUCCCAGGCACAGCUGGGUGUCAGACCUGGAGGAGAAGCUCCCAGAGUGACCAAGAUAGAAUCGGCAUGCAGGUGACAGCAGAUGGGCAUCCCUGUGAAACCCCAUGGGCCUGGACCUCCAGGGUCCUAGCCAGUUUGCUCCAAGUUCUGUGUGGACUGGGGAUUUGGAGGCAAGUCUGUGGGGAGACUGCCUGGGGCUUGUGCCUGCUGUUUACCUGUCUGCUGUUCAGGCACAUGAUCAGGCCAGUGGGUGUGCCCAAAGGUGGGCGUGGUUGCAGGAGUGCUCACGUUCAUACACGUGUUUACACACACGUGUGCAUACACGGGGUGCCAAGGCUAUAGGUCUUGCGAAGCAUGCAGGGCCACUGCCUUUUCCUGCUUUUAACCCCCCUCCUGGACAGGCCUGUGUUCUCUCUGAACAUCUCACAGUGCACAUUUAUGGAGUGCCUGCUGUGUGCAAGACCUGAGGGGUUGGGGCAGAGCAGUGCGCAGGGCAGCUGGCCCCUAGGGGACAGGAAUGACUGAGCACUCACACAGUGUCUUUCUGUCCUGGUCCCCCUGCACAGGAGCCCCCAAGGCCAGGCACCCCCGCCUCUACUUCCCAGAGGAGGACUUUGAGGUCCUGAUGCCUGAGAGGGGCACCUGUUGAGUCAACAGAGGGGACGGACAAUGAGACCAGCAGUCCGGUGCUCAAUUCUCCAUCCUAAGUGCCAGAAACCCCUACUUCAAGAGAAAACUGGCAUUGACAGGGCCCACCCAGAAUCCUCUCCUGCACCCUCCUUUCCCCUACUGGAAACCACACUUUUUGGGGGGCAUUUCCCUGGGCAUCCUGUAGGAGGGCAUCACAGCUGUUAGCAGCAGGAGGAAUUAAGGGAAGCUCUGACCUGAGUUAGACUGGACCGUGUAGGACAGCACUACCCCAUGUCUGAACUGGGGACCGGGCCACCCCUCCCCCAACACACAUACCACACACACGCAUGCACACAUACACACAUACACACACAUGCACACAUGCCCAGAGAGGUGAUGGGAGUUGCCUAAGGAUGCCCAUGGCGAGUGCUGGCCCUCUCCCUCCCAGACCCAGUUUGUUCCUUUAACUCAGGCUGCCCACUUUCCUGUCUCUUCUUGCCCUCCCCGCCCCCCGCCCCCCGAGUCUGAGAAUUAGGACCCUGGUGGCUGAGGAGGAUGAUCUGAGGCAUGAUCAGGUGCUCCCUUCUGGGCCACUAUUGGCCCACCCUUAAGGUGGCAGGAUGACAUGGAGUUUCGGCCAGCGUGAAUAUAGGGGCUGGAGGAUCCCUGUCUUUCCUUGCCUGGCACCCAAAUGCAACCUGGAAGACCCUGAGUGAAGGCCCCUUUCUGGGAAGAGGAUGGCAUUAUGGCAUGGCCAUUAGAAUCUUUGGCUAUGGACACUGUGACAGCCCAGGGCAGAAUCCAGGAUUCCUCACUUCUAGCUGUGGGCUGUGGGCAGGAGGCUUCAUCCUGCUGAAUCUUAGUCCCUAACCUGUACCGAAAAGAUGAACAUACUUCAUGAUGUUUGGAGAGGGAGGCAUUGUCUCGGAUCAGGGCCCAGGAAAUGGCAGUUGGGGUGGUCAGUGCUUAUUCUUGUAAGCAAGAAUGUGUGGCCAAGCCAAGUUGUGUCCAGAACACCUGGACCCACAGGAUUUGGGCCUGCCUCGUGGCCCCAGGAUUUCGAACCCAAAUUCCAGUCCUGACAUUGCCUCACCAGCUGGUUGGCCUUGGGCAUGUCCCUGGCUGCCUCUGGCUGCAACAGCCUCAGCCCCAAAUGAGCACAUCAAUCCCAGGGUCACAUGGAGGACAGAAUAACCAAUGAGACAUCAGAAGGGCCUUGCAAAUCACAAGGCUUGUGUCCCUUUUGGGGAUGCUGGAGGGAGGAACAGGUACCUACCAACUCUCAGUGGGUCCCUUGUGCACUCACACCCAGCGUUCUGGCCUCCAGUCAGGCUGAGAGGUGCACUUCCCCCAUACAGGGGAGAGCUGCACUCAUUUGGGGACCCUCUCCCGAGCCCUGCCCCUGCCCUCCCCGCCAGGCCCCCAGCAGCCAGGUUGGAGAGCUCUCACUCAGGGAGUCUGAGUCCCCUUUGAAGCUGGGAAGUUUGCACUGGAGGGGCAAAGGCAGCCUGCAUUCAAAGCAUCUCUCCUGGCCCUUAAUUACCCUUCUUCACCCAUAGGUGGAAUUUCCACUCAAAGAGCUAAGAAAUGCACCCGUGCUGCCGCCAGGGACUGGGUUUCCCUGCUGCCUUUGUGUAGCAGCCGCCAGCGCGGCAGUGGCACACAGCUCGGGUUUCUGAUUUUAAUGAUUUCCUGAAUUCAUUCCGUUUCCUACCUCAGGGAAAGGAGAAGAGGUGAUCCUCUUGGAAAUUCACAUAAUUGCUUUUAUUUGAUUUUUAUUAAAAUGCAUUCAGGAAUAAUGUGAUUGCCCCCUUUAUUAGAUUGUUCAUCAAGCUGGCAUGGGGAAUCAGCCUAGAAAAAAGUGGUGGGCACAGGAGCCUGGUGUGUGAUGGGGAGCGGGCACAGUCCCGCGGCGGCCUUGGGGGCUUGCCUCUCACUGGGGGAGUCACGCCUGCCUCUGAGCCUCCCGCUGCUCCUGUCUGGGGAGGUGGGCCCACUGCAGGGCGUGUUGGAAGAAUGAAAGCUGGCAGUCAGUGUGGAAGGCCGUGAGCACCGUCUAAAUCCCCUCCACAUCCCAACCCACUCCUCCUCUGUUGCUCCUCUGCCCACCUCUGAGGCCACACACAGGCUGACACGGAGACCCGUGGUGAUCUGGCAUAGCAGCACUGACCCCACACUCGCCUCCGCACUCCCAGUUGCCUGUACUUCUACGAUGGCCUUUUUGCCAGUCUUGCUGUCCUCAGGCUCAAGGUCCUCAGUGCAGUUUUCUGUGGCCCACCUAAUCACACCACUCCCCUGUUCAGAAACUUGGUGGCUCCCAAAGACCCCUUUCUUGCCGGAGACUUUUGCUUUGGGUUCCUUUGCACGCGCUGGAAGGUGAAAAUAAUCCAGACCUCUUAGACCUAGUUUCAGUGCUUGAAUUGCUUUGCAUGGUGGGAUGUGGGUGAAGCUGCCUUGCCUCUCCUAGUCUCAGUUUAUUGGUUCAAAUAAUGGGAACUCCAAGACCUUCCGUAGGGUCAGUGAGAAAAUGGAGUACAGGGGGUCUGUAACUCAGGCGGCAUGUACGUGUGUGGGUGAAAUCGUGCCACGUGACCCUGUGUUGCAGGAGGCUGAAGAUGCUUAGCAAAUAUGUGGGGAGAAGGCAGGGCAGGUCCAGCGCUGGCCCCAGCAGAGGCCACAGACCAGCUGAGCAGCCACUGUGACAGGGACAGUUUUAUUCUGAGCACCCCUACUCCCAUUUUCUGUAGCCCCUCCCCUCCUCCCAAUGCAAGAGUGGAGCUGACUUUCACUGCGCUCAGUGAAUUUGCCUCUCACCUUCUGGGGGGUUUUGCAGUUUCCAGAAGAGGGGCACAAAUAUGUUCACUGGGCUUCCAGGAAGUGCCUCACCCUCUGAGCUCACCAUGUCUCCAGACUGCCCAAGGCAUGUUUUAUUACCCUUGAGAUAUGGUGAAAUACAUAUUUGUUUCCCCCUCCUCCCAUCCCAUUUCCUGGCAUAGGACUCCUAAAAUCCUUGGACUCUCCAAAGUGAUAAGUUUCUUUUUGUAUGCUAAUGAGUUGAUUGCUGGCUGGCUGCUCCUAGGACACUUCAGGAUGUGGGCUGGUCACCAGAAAGACCAAGGAUUAGAGGGUUGGGGCUUCCAGCCCCACCUCCCCCAUCUGGGGGUGGGUGGGGAGAAGGGCUGAAGGUUGAGUUGAUCACCAAUGGCCAAUGUUUUAAUCAAUCAUGACUACAUAAUGACAUCGCCAUAAAAACGCAACAAAUCUGGGUUCCGGGAGCCUCCAGACAGCUGAACGUUUGGAGGCACUUGGAAGGUGGCACUCCAAGAGAGGGCAUGGGAGCACCCCUUCCGGACCUCGCCCUGUGCCUCUCUUCAUCUGGAUGUUUAUUUGUAUCCUUUAAAAUAUCUUUUGUUAUAAACCAGUAAACAUUUUUCCAAGAGUUCUGUGAGCCGCUCGGGCAAAUUAAUCAGACCCAAGCAGGGGGUUGUGGGAACCCCGAUUCAUAGACGAACGGUCAGAAGCACAGGCAGAAUAACCUGGGGUUUGCGGUGGGCAUCAGAAGUGGGGCUCAGAGUUAGGGGACUGAAUCCUCACCCUGUGGGAUCUGAUGCUAUCUCCAGGUGGAUGGUGUUUGAAGUGAAUUGAAUUAGGGGACACCCAGCUGGCAUCUGCUGCAGAACUGAUGACUCGCUUGCUGGUGGGCAGAAAUCUCCAUAAUCUUUCUUUAGCAGAUGAGGUCACUGAGGCUCAGAGAGGGUAAGUGACUUGUUUAGGGCUGUCUAGCUAGGAUGUGGAGGCUUGGGGACAAGGCCUCUUGGGCACAUACAACUAGGAUGGGCAGGUGACUCCCUGCCACCAGGGGAGUUGGUGAAAUGCUUCGCAGGGCUGAGGUUGAGCAAGUGGGCAGUGCCUGGAGAAGCCAAUCUGCAUCCUUGGUGUGGGUAGGCCUUGAGGGUAUUUGAAGCAGGCCCUCUGCCUGGGGCGGUCUGCCCCUGCUGGCUGGGCUGCACAGAGAGUCAGGGAGGCAUGGGAGCAUAGCCAUCCACUUUCAGAGCCCCAUCU
rnacentral:lncRNA from 1 species